rnacentral:rRNA from 1 species
UAACGGCGAGUGAAGCGGCAAAAGCUCAAAUUUGAAAUCUGGCGUCUUCGACGUCCGAGUUGUAAUUUGAAGAAGGCAACUUUGUAGCUGGUCCUUGUCUAUGUUCCUUGGAACAGGACGUCAUAGAGGGUGAGAAUCCCGUGUGGCGAGGAUCCCAGUUAUUUGUAAAGUGCUUUCGACGAGUCGAGUUGUUUGGGAAUGCAGCUCUAAGUGGGUGGUAAAUUCCAUCUAAAGCUAAAUAUUGGCGAGAGACCGAUAGCGAACAAGUACAGUGAUGGAAAGAUGAAAAGAACUUUGAAAAGAGAGUGAAAAAGUACGUGAAAUUGUUGAAAGGGAAGGGCAUUUGAUCAGACAUGGCGUUUGCUUCGGCUUUCGCUGGGCCAGCAUCAGUUUUAGCGGUUGGAUAAAUCCUCGGGAAUGUGGCUCUGCUUCGGUAGAGUGUUAUAGCCCGUGGGAAUACAGCCAGCUGGGACUGAGGAUUGCGACUUUUGUCAAGGAUGCUGGCGUAAUGGUUAAAUGCCGCCCGUCUUGA